UCAGUUACCUGACAGGGUAGAUACCAUGAUCACAAAGGUGGUUUUCCCAAGAUGAGACUUAUCCAUUGCACUCCAGAUGUGCUGACCCUGCAGUUUUCCUAAUGUGGUAGUGGGGGACUUAGUUUGCACUUGCCUCUG
rnacentral:snRNA from 7 species